rnacentral:rRNA from 1 species
AUACGGAGGAUGCGAGCGUUAUCCGGAUUUAUUGGGUUUAAAGGGAGCGUAGGUGGGAUAUUAAGUCAGCUGUGAAAGUUUGGGGCUCAACCUUAAAAUUGCAGUUGAUACUGGUUUCCUUGAGUACAGUAGAGGUGGGCGGAAUUCGUGGUGUAGCGGUGAAAUGCUUAGAUAUCACGAAGAACUCCGAUUGCGAAGGCAGCUCACUAGACUGUUACUGACACUGAUGCUCGAAAGUGUGGGUAUCAAACAGGAUUAGAUACCCUGGUAGUCCACACAGUAAACGAUGAAUACUCGCUGUUUGCGAUAUACAGUAAGCGGCCAAGCGAAAGCAUUAAGUAUUCCACCUGGGGAGUACGCCGGCAGCGGUGAAAAUCAAAUGAAUUGGCGGG